rnacentral:rRNA from 1 species
AUUCCAGCUCCAAUAGCGUAUAUUAAAGUUGUUGCAGUUAAAACGCUCGUAGUCGGAUUUCGGGGCGGGCCGACCGGUCUGCCGAUGGGUAUGCACUGGCCGGCGCGUCCUUCCACCCGGAGACCGCGCCUACUCUUAACUGAGCGGGCGCGGGAGACGGGUCUUUUACUUUGAAAAAAUCAGAGUGUUUCAAGCAGGCAGUCGCUCUUGCAUGGAUUAGCAUGGGAUAAUGAAAUAGGACUCUGGUGCUAUUUUGUUGGUUUCGAACACCGGAGUAAUGAUUAACAGGGACAGUCAGGGGCACUCGUAUUCCGCCGAGAGAGGUGAAAUUCUUGGAUUUAUGGAAGGCAAACUAAUGCGAAAGCAUCUACCAAGGAUGUUUUCAUCA